rnacentral:rRNA from 1 species
UACAGAGGGUGCGAGCGUUAAUCGGAAUUACUGGGCGUAAAGCGUGCGUAGACGGUUAUUUAAGUCGGGUGUGAAAGCCCCGGGCUCAACCUGGGAAUUGCAUUCGAGACUGAAUAGCUAGGGUACGGUAGAGGAAAGCGGAAUUUCCGGUGUAGCGGUGAAAUGCGUAGAUAUCGGAAGGAACAUCAGUGGCGAAAGCGGCUUCCUGGACCAGUACCGACGUUCAGGCACGAAAGCGUGGGGAGCAAACAGG